AAUCUUACAUAAUGGGCGAAAGCCUGAUGGAGCAACGCUGCGUGAGUGAAGAAGGUUUUUGGAUCGUAAAACUCUGUUGUAUGGGAAGAAAAAGUACAGUAGUAACUGGCUGUACCUUGACGGUACAUUAUUAUAAAGCCACGGCUAACUACGUGCCAGCAGCCGCGGUAAUACGUAGGGUGCAAUCGUUGUCCGGAAUUAUUGGGCGUAAAGCGCGCGCAGGCGGUCCUUUAAGUCUGAUGUGAAAGCCCACAGCUCAACCGUGGAGGGUCAUUUGAAACUGGGGGACUUGAGUGCAGAAGAGGAAAGUGGAAUUCCAAGUGUAGCGGUGAAAUGCAUAGAGAUUUGGAGGAACACCAGUGGCGAAGGCGACUUUCUGGUCUGUAACUGACGCUGAGGCGCGAAAGCGUGGGGAGCAAACAGG
rnacentral:rRNA from 1 species